UAGGGAAUCUUCCGCAAUGGACGCAAGUCUGACGGAGCAACGCCGCGUGAGUGAAGAAGGAUUUCGGUUCGUAAAACUCUGUUGUUAGAGAAGAACAGCGCAUAGAGUAACUGUUAUGCGUGUGACGGUAUCUAACCAGAAAGCCACGGCUAACUACGUGCCAGCAGCCGCGGUAAUACGUAGGUGGCAAGCGUUGUCCGGAUUUAUUGGGCGUAAAGCGAGCGCAGGCGGUCAAUUAAGUCUGAUGUGAAAGCCCCCGGCUCAACCGGGGAGGGUCAUUGGAAACUGGUUGACUUGAGUGCAGAAGAGGAGAGUGGAAUUCCAUGUGUAGCAGUGAAAUGCGUAGAUAUAUGGAGGAACACCAGUGGCGAAGGCGACUCUCUGGUCUGUAACUGACGCUGAGGCUCGAAAGCGUGGGUAGCAAACAGG
rnacentral:rRNA from 1 species